rnacentral:rRNA from 1 species
GAUGAACGCUGGCGGCGUGCCUAAUACAUGCAAGUCGAGCGAACAGACGAGGAGCUUGCUCCUCUGACGUUAGCGGCGGACGGGUGAGUAACACGUGGAUAACCUACCUAUAAGACUGGGAUAACUUCGGGAAACCGGAGCUAAUACCGGAUAAUAUAUUGAACCGCAUGGUUCAAUAGUGAAAGACGGUUUUGCUGUCACUUAUAGAUGGAUCCGCGCCGCAUUAGCUAGUUGGUAAGGUAACGGCUUACCAAGGCAACGAUGCGUAGCCGACCUGAGAGGGUUAUCUGCCACACUGGAACUGAGACACGGUCCAUACUCCUACGGGAGGCAGCAGUAGGGACUCUUCCGCAAUGGGCGAAAGCCUGACGGAGCAACGCCGCGUGAGUGAUGAAGGUCUUCGGAUCGUAAAACUCUGUUAUUAGGGAAGAACAAAUGUGUAAGUAACUAUGCACGUCUUGACGGUACCUAAUCAGAAAGCCACGGCUAACUACGUG